rnacentral:rRNA from 1 species
UGGGGAAUAUUGCACAAUGGGCGCAAGCCUGAUGCAGCCAUGCCGCGUGUAUGAAGAAGGCCUUCGGGUUGUAAAGUACUUUCAGUCGGGAGGAAGGUGGUAAGGUUAAUAACCUUAUCAAUUGACGUUACCGACAGAAGAAGCACCGGCUAACUCCGUGCCAGCAGCCGCGGUAAUACGGAGGGUGCAAGCGUUAAUCGGAAUUACUGGGCGUAAAGCGCACGCAGGCGGUUGAUUGAGUCAGAUGUGAAAUCCCCGGGCUUAACCCGGGAAUUGCAUCUGAUACUGGUCAGCUAGAGUCUUGUAGAGGGGGGUAGAAUUCCAUGUGUAGCGGUGAAAUGCGUAGAGAUGUGGAGGAAUAACGGUGGCGAAGGCGGCCCCCUGGACAAAGAAUGACGCUCAGGUGCGAAAGCGUGGGGAGCAAACAGG